rnacentral:rRNA from 1 species
UCCUACGGGAGGCAGCAGUAGGGAAUCUUCCGCAAUGGGCGAAAGCCUGACGGAGCAACGCCGCGUGAGUGAUGAAGGUCUUCGGAUCGUAAAACUCUGUUAUCAGGGAAGAACAAAUGUGUAAGUAACUGUGCACAUCUUGACGGUACCUGAUCAGAAAGCCACGGCUAACUACGUGCCAGCAGCCGCGGUAAUACGUAGGUGGCAAGCGUUAUCCGGAAUUAUUGGGCGUAAAGCGCGCGUAGGCGGUUUUUUAAGUCUGAUGUGAAAGCCCACGGCUCAACCGUGGAGGGUCAUUGGAAACUGGAAAACUUGAGUGCAGAAGAGGAAAGUGGAAUUCCAUGUGUAGCGGUGAAAUGCGCAGAGAUAUGGAGGAACACCAGUGGCGAAGGCGACUUUCUGGUCUGUAACUGACGCUGAUGUGCGAAAGCGUGGGGAUCAAACAGGAUUAGAUACCCUGGUAGUCCACGCCGUAAACGAUGAGUGCUAAGUGUUAGGGGGUUUCCGCCCCUUAGUGCUGCAGCUAACGCAUUAAGCACUCCGCCUGGGGAGUACGACCGCAAGGUUGAAACUCAAAGGAAUUGACGGA